UACGAAGGUGGCAAGCGUUGUUCGGAUUUACUGGGCGUAAAGAGUGCGUAGGCGGUUUAAUAAGUCAGGAGUGAAAUCCCAGGGCUCAACCUUGGAAUUGCUUUUGAAACUAUUUUACUUGAAUCCGGUAGAGGUUGGCGGAAUUCCCAGUGUAGAGGUGAAAUUCGCAGAUAUUGGGAGGAACACCAGUGGCGUAAGCGGCCAACUGGACCGGUAUUGACGCUGAGGCACGAAAGCGUGGGUAGCAAACAGG
rnacentral:rRNA from 1 species